rnacentral:lncRNA from 1 species
ACUGUACUGAUGAGUCCCAAAAAGGACGAAAUAACAGGUCACAAGCAUCUCUUCCAU